UUCCUCAGCAUGUUGGGUUUUUUUGGCUCACUACAGCCUCCUUUCCCAGUGUCAGUAUUCUGUUCAGUCUGGCAGAAAUCCCAGAAUCUCUUUUGGAAGGGACCUCAGCAGCAUCAAGUCUAAGGAUUCUUAGCCUAGGAUCUAUAAGUUCAGCCAAGUUGAGCCAGCUUCUGAAGAUGCUGAGGCUGAGGUAGUGUGAACGCACAAGUUGCAUUGACAACAGUCAAGACAAAAAAUUUUUCUUGAGAUUCCAUCCACUCUAUGCCCAACACUAUGCUAGUCAUGUAAGCAAUUCGAAGAAGGAAAAGGAACAGUUUCUCAAUACAAGUAACCCACAAUUUCUGCCUGA